AAUGUGUGUAACAGGUACCUGUGUGUGAGCUUGCGUGCGUGCGUUGAGGAGACGUGUGUUUGAUAAGCUCUGAAAAUUAGUUUUGGAGACAAGUGUGAGUAAAGGCUUCAGAGUGUGUAUGUGUGUGUUCUUAUCUGCGUAAGCAGGCCUGCUUCUGUGUGAAAGAAAAAAAAAAAGGAAAAAAGAGAAGAAAAAAAAAACUAUGUGUGUGCUCUUCAGAUUGAGAUGGGUAAAACAGAACUUUGUGAGAUAUUUCUGCUUUUUCAUUGAGUGUUUUGAAUCUGGUACAGACUUUGUGCGAGUCUGGUGGGACUGUUUGUAUUAUAACAAUUGCUUGGUAUCAAUAACUGCUGUGUGACUGUUUUAAAAAUCAGGGAACAGUCAAGACCAUUAUAAAUAUUUUAGACAUCUGCCAGAUUGCCCGUUGUGUAAGUCACUUAUAACUUCUAGACCUGUAAUUAAUAUAUAAAAAAAUAUUCCCAGAUUGUGUGAUCCAGAAAAAGGAGACAGGGUACCUUACAUGACGAUUUACUGAAGGUGGAAAAGAAUCUUGAUAGUUGGACUUGGAAAAUGAUUCAUUGUCAUAAGGAAUCGUGAAAACUCAUGCUUGUCAUGCAUAGAUUUGACUUAUUUUUAUUUAUUUAUUUUAUUUAAUUGUGGAGAUGGAUUUUUCUGUUUUCAAUCCCAUAUUUAGACUUUUGUGUGCUCGUUCAUGUAAAAUGCUAAUAAUAGAAAGGUGCACUUUGAAAACUCUUUUCUGAAGUGUGCAUUAGAAUAAGAUAGUUGGUGAAUAGUUAAUGUUGACCGGGUUUUGCAUGGAAUACAAGUGUCUGGAUUAGGCAGCAUUGCAUAAUGGUUUCUUUUGCUGACAUGUUGUGCUGAUGUGGCUCUCACUGCAGUGAGUUUGUGAGUUAGUUUAAUUACAGUCUCAUUGCAACAGUGUAGUUUGAGUGAUUUGUUUCUUUUCUGAAUUGUAGAUUGAUGAAUAGAAUAAAGUAGUUGUGUGAAUAUACAAAUAUAUAUAUUAUACGGUGUGCUAUGGAUAUGUCAUAUAAUGUAUAAGAGUUGCAAUAUUUAAAUAAUACAGUGCAGUGGUCACAAACACGAGGAAUGGAGCGUAUUGUGCACAAUCUGUGAGUGAAUUGAAAGUCUUUAUACUGUAACUGUGAUUGUGCUGUGAAUUGGAUCCAGGUGUGUGUGAUCUGGGAAUUGCAGUCCAUGGCAGCCAUGUUUGUGGAACGCAGUGCAGGAUGGGAAAUGUAGUUUGUGACAUGAGUAGACUUAACACCAACCUAAUAUGAUAAAACACAGUUUAAAUGAAAUGGAUACAUUUAUAGAGGGAAUUUUAUGCCUUUCACAAAUGGCGCUCAGCAAAGGAAAAAAAAUGGGUGUUAAAUUGAAACAAAGCUCAUAGAUGAUAAAUUUUAUGUUAGACUAAGCUAAAGACAUUUACGCAUUACUCCUAAUUAGAUAUAUUUAAAAUAAAGUGAACAAAAUUAAAGGUGUCAUGUAUGAAGGGUCUGAGUGAUAUUUUGAGUGUGGUACAGUUGUAAAGGGACAGAGGGUGCAUGCAUGUCUACCAUUUAAACUAAACACUAUUGUUGUACACAGUAAAAACAAAUUCAGUAGGUUGUUUUGAAUAAAAAUUACUGGGAUAAAAGAGACUAGAGAACUGUAAAUACAUGUCUAGAUCUCGGCCUCAUUUACUCUAUUUUUAGUUCUGUAUUAUUGGGAUUAUCACUCGUUAACACAGAUGGGAUAUUAACAUGUUAGGUUAGUGUACAUCACAAAUAGUCCUAGACUAAAGGAAUUUUGUUUUUUCAUUCACCAGAAGGAUAUUGAGAAAGGAAUUCAGGAAGGGAUAUGAAUGAAUCUUUGUAUUUUUAAAGACAGCAGACUGGAGCUCUUUGACGGAUUUGACGGAUUGGCUGGACGCUUUCAUACUUUAUAAGGCUUUCUAAAAUUUUUGAUAGGACACAGAGCUUUGGGAUUGGACUAUAAUGAUCUAAUAUAGUGGGAUUUCCCUCAUUUAAUAAAGGAACAACAAGAUAAGUUAAAGGAGAUGAAAAAAUAUCAGCUGCUAAAUUCAAAAAUACAGAUUCCACACAAUCAGGGCCUUGUGAUUUGUUUAUAUCGAGCAAUUUGAGUGCUCUGUAAACAUCAGAAGUCUUAA